UAAUUGAAGCCAAAAAGAGGCCUAUCACUGUUAAUGAUAAAAUUGAGCUCUAGCUCCAAUUAAG
rnacentral:tRNA from 1 species